GUGGUAUCCUGUCUGAAUAUGGGGGGACCAUCCUCCAAGGCUAAAUACUCCUGACUGACCGAUAGUGAACCAGUACCGUGAGGGAAAGGCGAAAAGAACCCCGGCGAGGGGAGUGAAAAAGAACCUGAAACCGUGUACGUACAAGCAGUGGGAGCACCUUCGGGUGUGACUGCGUACCUUUUGUAUAAUGGGUCAGCGACUUAUAUUCUGUAGCAAGGUUAACCGUAUAGGGGAGCCGCAGGGAAACCGAGUCUUAACUGGGCGUUAAGUUGCAGGGUAUAGACCCGAAACCCGGUGAU
rnacentral:rRNA from 1 species